rnacentral:lncRNA from 1 species
UUUAGCCUCCAUUACCCUUUAUCUUUUUUUUGCCACACCCACUGCAUGUGAAAAUUCCUGGGCCAGGGAUCAAACUGGCUCCACAGCAGAGACCCAAGCCACAGCAGUGACAAUGCCAGAUCCUUAACCACUAGGCCACCAAGGAACUCAUCCAUUCCUUAUUAAUAAAUGUUUUGGUUAACUGCCAUUAACGCAAUUAAUGUAAAGCAUGUAUGAAAUCUCCACUUACGAAUGCUCUGUUUAAAAGAGAGACCCUUUUAUUAAACAAGACUGUGUCAUUCUUUUCUUAAGUACUCAGAAAGCUCCUCUAGUACAUUUUAGGCAACAGCAUUACCUUCAACACAUAUUCUAAGACGUGCAUGAUAAAUAACCUCAGUUAAGUUCAUUCAUGCAUUUAUUCAAACAUGACAGAACUACUGUUUAUGCUAAGAGAAAAGACAGAUGUGUGGGAGAAGUGGGCAAUUGUGUUUCUGCUUGUUGUAUGUGCAUCUAAAGCUCUACUUGCCCAAUAAGACCAAAUGUUCAGGAGUAGCAAUGGGAUAUAAGAUUACUGAGAAUUCCAGCCUAGCAGUGCUAGUUAAACCUUCUGGUGUCAUGGUAAGGGAUUAUGUGAUGACAUUCUACUGACCAAUGUAGCAAAUUUAUGACUGCUGGCAAGUCACUUUCCCAGAUGUCUAGUUUCUACUUAUUUCUGUGAGAAUUAAGAAUGAGAAUCUCAAAAGAAAUGUAUGACUCUCUGACUUACUGUGAAAAUUCCUUGAGACUGUCCUGUAACCCAGAAUACUUACAGCUAAGCUCAUUACUGUCCAUUUCAAAAGGAACUAUCAUGAGCUGGGAUUUGAGCUCUCCCUGCAAAACCUUAGAACUGGCAUCAGAUAGCAUAUCUGUGCCCGCUAGGGAGCCUAUCCACUGCCAAAGCGGGUUGGCAGAAAGCUUCAGCUUUCAACAGCUACAGAGGUACUUAUCAGAACAAGCUUUGAGCAUGCUCUAAAGCAGGCAGGUUCCUCCAGCCUCUCCCAGCAUCCUCAGCACCUUCCUCUUGGGGUUACUGCUCUUUUUCUGAUGGCACUGGGAGCUGUCCUAGCGCUUACUGCUUAGGGGCCACACCCUCUGACCUGCUUUCUGCUUCCUCCUUAGAAUCAGUGGGCUGACACUUCAAAGGCCAGCAUGUAGGGGGCCAUGGUUGAUGAUGUCCACUGCACUGAGGCUCCAUUGGUGGGACCCAGAGUCUACCAUGGUGACUCAGAGUCUACCAUCUGGCCCAGAGUCUACCAUGGUGACUCUUCUCUAACAAGCCAUCAUUAUCUUCCUUCUCUUUUAUUUUGCAUUUGUUCUUCUCUUCUUUAAUAUUUUAUUUCUCUUGUUUCCUUCCUUGCUGUGUUGGAUAUAUAUUGCUGCAUAAAAAUAUUAGCCCACAUUUAGCAGUGUACACCAACACAAACUUAUGUCUCACUGUUUCAGUGCCUCAGGUGUAUAGAUAUGGCUUAGUUGAGGUCUGUCUGAGGCCAUGAUCAAGGUAUCAGGCAGGGCUUGUUUUCAAAUGGAAGCUGAACUGGGGAAGGAUCCACUUCCAGGCUCAUUUGUUUUGUUGGUAGAAUCCAUUUCCUGGUGGUUAAAGAACUGAGGGCUUCAGUACUUUGCUAUUUGUCAGCCAGAGGUUGCCCUCAGCUUCUAGAAGCUGCCCACAGUUCCUCAUCAUGGAGGCCUCCCCCAAUAGCUGCCUGCUUCAUCACAACCUGCAAGAGAGAGUCUCCAGCAAGACAGGUUACUAUUUUAUGCAACUGAAUCCUACAUGCAUAAUUACAUAUGUCUAUCACCUUUGCUGUAUUCUAUCUAUUAGAAGUAAGUCACAGGUCAUGUCCACACUCAAGGGAAGGGGGCCAUGCAAGGGUAUACCGGGUGACAGGAAUCAUGGGGGCCACCUUCCAAGUCUAUCUGCCCCAUUAUCCCUUAUGGCUUCCAAAGAUUCAUGUCCCUCCCAAAUGUAAAAUAUGUUCAUCUCAUCCCGCGGUCUCCAGGAGCCUCAUCCUAUGAGAACAUCAGCUCAAAGUCCAGAAUCUCAUCAUGUAAAUUAAUUCUAGUAAAUCAGUGACUUUCUCUGUGUGAAGUUCUUCUUGAUCAGCUAAUCUGUAAAUCUACAGAGUCAGCAGCCAUUUUAAACUCAAGCUAUCCAUCCCCUUUCAUGCACCCAACAUGCAGUGGCAGGAUAGCCAUUGAUAACAGCUAUAGACAUUCCUGUUCUAAAAAGGAGAAAAAGAUAAGUACAAAACAGACACUGUUAGAGUUCCUGUUGUGGCUCAGUGGAAACUGACUAAUAUCUGUGAGGACACAGGUUUGAUCCCUGGCCUUGCUCAGUGGGUUAAGAAUCCCACUUUGCCAUGAGCUCUCAUGGCAAUGCCGGAUCCUUAACCCACUGAGCAAGGUCAGAGAUUGAACCCGCAACCUCAUGGUUCCUAGUUGGAUUCGUUUCCUCUGCACUCUGAUAGGAACUCUGAAGUUAUUUCCUUGUGCUUGUGACUCUGAGGGCCCCAGCCUCUUCCUGGCUGUUGGCUAGAGGCUGCCUUCAGCUCUUUGCUAUGGGAUCUCUUCAAAAUGGUCACAUGCUUCAUGAAAGGCAGAAUGGGAGGAAAUUUGCGGUGUAUAUCUAUUUUUUUCAUUCCAUCCUUUAAUUAUAUAUUUUUUCCUGACCUCUCAUCAAUUUAUUUAUUCUCUUUCAUCUCUACUUUCUGUUUUUUCUUCAUUUUUUUUCUUUUUAUGGCUACAUCUGCAGCACAUGGAAGUUCCUGGUCUAGGGGUCAAAUCAGAGCUGCAGCUGCCCGCCUAUGGCCCAGCCACUGCAACACCAGAUCCCAGCCACAUCUGUGACCUAAGUAGCAGCUUGCAGCAAUGCCAGAUCCUUAACCCUCUAAGGGAGGCCAGGGAUCAAACCCGCAUCCUUACAGAGACUACAUCAGGUCUUUAACCCACUGAGCCACAACAGGAACUCCUCAUAUCUACUUUCAUGCUGUGGCAUUUAUGAUUCCCAAAGUUAAGCUAACUCAAACUAGUAUAAGCAAAUGGGACAUCCUGCUAGCCAGUGGGAAUGGGAAGCUUCAGCGGCAGAGAGAACCAAGGAAACAAACUCUGCCC